CCUACGGGAGGCAGCAGUGAGGAAUAUUGGUCAAUGGGCGAAAGCCUGAUGCAGCAACGCCGCGUGCAGGAUGAAGGCCUUCGGGUUGUAAACUGCUUUUAUAAGCGAGAAAUAUGAUGGUAACUUAUGAAUAAGGAUCGGCUAACUACGUGCCAGCAGCCGCGGUCAUACGUAGGAUCCGAGCAUUAUCCGGAGUGACUGGUUGGAAAGAGUUGCGUAGGUGGCAUAAUAAGUAGCUAGUGAAAUCUGGUGGCUCAACCAUUCAGACUAUUAGCUAAACUGUUAAGCUCGAGACCGUUAGGGGUAACUGGAAUGUCUAGUGUAGGAGUGAAAUCCGUAGAUAUUAGAAGGAACACCAAUAGCGUAGGCAGGUUGCUGGGACGGUUCUGACACUAAGGCACGAAAGCGUAGGGAGCAAACGGGAUUAGAUACCCCUGUAGUC
rnacentral:rRNA from 1 species